rnacentral:sRNA from 1 species
CCUAGCUUUUCACCGAUAGGUGUUUAAAAGUUAAGGUCACAAGUUUAUCUAUAGUGUGUUAAUCAAAAAUUAACACCAUGAAAUUCAACAUUUUUAGUUAGUAACUAUAAAAGAUCCUUGGGAAAGUCUUUCGUGAAUACUAGAAAUGUGGUGCUUAUUAGUAGAUAAGCUAUACCGA